UACGUAGGGUGCGAGCGUUGUCCGGAAUUAUUGGGCGUAAAGGGCUCGUAGGCGGUCUGUCGCGUCGGGAGUGAAAACUCAGGGCUUAACCCUGAGCCUGCUUCCGAUACGGGCAGACUAGAGGUAUGCAGGGGAGAACGGAAUUCCUGGUGUAGCGGUGAAAUGCGCAGAUAUCAGGAGGAACACCAGCGGCGAAGGCGGCGCUCUGGGCCGGUACUGACACUGAGGAGCGAAAGCGUGGGUAGCAAACAGG
rnacentral:rRNA from 1 species